UAUUGUAACUGUAAAUUUAUUUAUUUAAGUAGUAUUAGAGUUCUUGAAACUUAAAGAAUUUGGCGGUAUAUUAAUCUAAUUAGAGGAACCUGUCCUGUAAUCGAUAAUCCACGGAAAUUUUACUUUUGCUGGUAUGUUCAGUUUGUAUAUCGCUGUCGUAAGAUUAUUUUAUGAGGGAUUUUUCUAGAAUAAUAGUUAUUAUUAAUGACAAGUCAAGGUGCAGCAUAUGUUGAAGUUUGAGAUGGGUUACAAUAUGUGAAGGUAUAUGGAUUAGGAUAUGAAAUUAUUCUUUGAAGGUGGAUUUAAUUGUAAUUUUAAACUAAUAAUUUAAUGUGAAUAAGUGCUAAUAUAUGC
rnacentral:rRNA from 1 species